rnacentral:rRNA from 1 species
GAUGAACGCUGGCGGCGUACCUAAUACAUGCAAGUCGAGCGAACAGACGAGGAGCUUGCUCCUCUGACGUUAGCGGCGGACGGGUGAGUAACACGUGGAUAACCUACCUAUAAGACUGGGAUAACUUCGGGAAACCGGAGCUAAUACCGGAUAAUAUAUUGAACCGCACGGUUCAAUAGUGAAAGACGGUUUUGCUGUCACUUAUAGAUGGAUCCGCGCCGCAUUAGCUAGUUGGUAAGGUAACGGCUUACCAAGGCGACGAUGCGUAGCCGACCUGAGAGGGUGAUCGGCCACACUGGAACUGAGACACGGUCCAGACUCCUACGGGAGGCAGCAGUAGGGAAUCUUCCGCAAUGGGCGAAAGCCUGACGGAGCAACGCCGCGUGAGUGAUGAAGGUCUUCGGAUCGUAAAACUCUGUUAUUAGGGAAGAACAAAUGUGUAAGUAACUAUGCACGUCUUGACGGUACCUAAUCAGAAAGCCACGGCUAACUACGUG